rnacentral:rRNA from 1 species
UACGUAGGGGGCGAGCGUUGUCCGGAUUUAUUGGGCGUAAGGAGCUCGUAGGCGGCUUAGCAAGUCGGGUGUGAAAACUCCAGGCUCAACCUGGAGACGCCACUCGAGACUGCUAUGGCUAGAGUCCGGUAGGGGACCACGGAAUUCCUGGUGUAGCGGUGAAAUGCGCAGAUAUCAGGAGGAACACCGGUGGCGAAGGCGGUGGUCUGGGCCGGCACUGACGCUGAGGAGCGAAAGCGUGGGGAGCAAACAGG